UAUAAUUAGAGCUAAACAGAGUAGUAAUAUAAUAUAAAACUCAUAUAUAAUGGCGGUCACAUAUAAAUUAGAGGAACUCGCUUCUUAAUCGACAACACCCGAUUAUUUUCACUUGCUUAAUCACACUUUAAUUAAAACCUAUAUACCGCCGUUUCAGAAUUUACUAAAAAGUAAAACUCCAAAUAAUUAAACUAUUAAAAAAUCAGGUCAAGGUGUAGUUAAUAAACAAGAGUAAGUAAGUUACAUUAAUAUAUAAUUAAGGAAAUAUAGCUUAGAACAUAUAUAUCGAAAUAGAAUCUAACUACACAAACAACUAAUAAAAAUUUACAUUGAACCAACCCAGUGACGC
rnacentral:rRNA from 1 species